UCUAUAUGGCAGUUUAAGGAUUUGGAUACCCUGUACCCGAUGGGAAAAAGAGUAUACCAGCCCGAAGAUACGAAUCGAUGUCUGUCUGGAUGACCGCAUGGAUUUCGGAGACGGCUGAGCCUUCAUCAUUGACCACACUUGAAUUUUUUCAAUACAGUCCACAUUUCCAAAGAUGU